rnacentral:rRNA from 1 species
CCUACGUGGGCAGCAGUGGGGAAUAUUGCACCAUGGGGGAAACCCUGAUGCAGCGACGCCGCGUGAGUGAAGAAGUAAUUCGUUACGUAAAGCUCUAUCAGCAGGGAAGAAAAUGACGGUACCUGAGUAAGAAGCCCCGGCUAACUACGGGCCCGCAGCCGCGGUAAUGCGUAGGGGGCAAGCGUUAUCCGGAUUUACUGGGGGUAAAGGGAGCGUAGACGGUGCGCCAAGUCAGGAGUGAAAUGCCGCAGGUUAACUGCGGAACUGCUUUGGAAACUGGCGAACUAGUGUGCGGGAGGGGUAAGCGGAAUUCCAUGUGUAGCGGUGAAAUGCGUAGAUAUUAGGAAGAACACCGGUGGCGAAGGCGGCUUACUGGACCGUAACUGACGUUGAGGGUCGAAAGCGUGGGGAGCAAACAGGAUUAGAUACCCUGGUAGUC